GGGGGGCGGGGGGGGGGGGCCUGGCGCGGGCGGGGCGGGCGGUGACGGGCCUUCGGGUGCCGGCGAGUGGCGGACGGGUGAGUAAUACAUCGGAACGUGCCCGAUCGUGGGGGAUAACGAGGCGAAAGCGUUGCUAAUACCGCAUACGAUCUACGGAUGAAAGCAGGGGACCGCAAGGCCUUGCGCGGACGUAGCGGCCGAUGGCAGACUAGGUAGUUGGUGGGCUCAAAGCUUACCAAGCCGACGAUCUGUAGCUGGUCUGAGAGGAUGAUCAGCCACACUGGGACUGAGACACGGCCCAGACUCCGACGGGAGGCAGCAGUGGGGAAUUUUGGACAAUGGGCGCAAGCCUGAUCCAGCCAUGCCGCGUGCAGGAUGAAGGCCUUCGGGUUGUAAACUGCUUUUGUACGGAACGAAAAGCCUUCUUUUAAUACAGGAGGGUCAUGACGGUACCGUAAGAAUAAGCACCGGCUAACUACGUG
rnacentral:rRNA from 1 species